GGUCCACAUCCUAGUAGUAGAUAAUGACAACUUAAAUAAGAAGUUAAUCUACUUAACAUAACAUGAUAAGGUUUAUCUGAGAUAAUACACUUAUCCUAAUAACUCCUAGACUCGUAUGACUCGUUGACUCGUGACUCGACCUGUCACAUUUUCUCUGAUUUCUUCGCGUUUCAGAUGAGGUUCUGGUGUGAUAUCCUCUAUGAGAGAUCCAGCUCUGGUGGCACGCAUGUUAAUACGGUGAUUGAUCCCUGUUUGAGGACGUCAAAGAAAGUGUUCAGAAACCUUUUGUUAGUUAUCUUUUUUUUUAAUUACCAAGAGGGUCGUGGCUUGUCUUCUGAUAGAAAAAUAGGUCUUGGGUGGUUCACUUUCUUGGGAUGGUGAUUCCUAUUUGUUUGUUUUGUUUCUGGUCUGGAUCAUCAUUCCACCGCCCUGUAAUUGGAGAGAAUUGUAGUAUCGCGGACUUUGAGGUGGCGAUAACUGUGUAGCUUGCCGCAUCUAGGGUUAGAGUCAUUUUUACAGGAUGGCAUGUUGGAGCGGCGGGACUCCUUUGAAGACGGCUUCAUUCAUGGAGACUGGUGACAGACCCGGAGAUGGAUUUUGGACAUUCCGGUUCGGAAAAGUCUCGACUUUCUCAAUUUGCUUGCCGUAUGUGUUUAACAGAGGAAGAAUAUUCGAAAUCAUUGUCUUUUUCCCUCAACCUUGUUCUUUGUCUAUUGUUGUUCUAUUGCUUGUGUUCUAGUCAAAUCGUAA